CCUCCUCACUUACCGACUGUGUUCCGUUCCUACGACCCUGUCAUAGAACGAAUUGGUCGGUAAAUGAGGAGUUAAGGCAGGGGUCCUCAAACACCGGCCCCCCAGAUGUUGCUGAACUACAGCUCCCAUGAUUCUUUGAAUUACAUAGCCAGAGAAUUAUGGGAGUUGUAGUUCAGCAACAUCUGGGGGGGCUGGAGUUUGAGCACCCCUGAGUUAAGGGAGUCCCUGCUCUGGUGCAUUUGUCUAUGUUCGGGAAAGUUUCCCCAAACAUAGACAUGCGCACCAGAGCAGGUUAUCCCCACGAUGGCUCACACUUACGCCUGGUCGUAAGUGCGAGCCGUCGUAGGUAGGUCGCUAAAUGAGGACCACCUGUAUAUGUAUAAUAUUUAUUUUAUUUAUUUAUUUUUUAACUUUUUAGAAGCCUGGGG